AUUGAACGCUGGCGGCAUGCCUUACACAUGCAAGUCGAACGGUAACAGGUCUUCGGAUGCUGACGAGCGGCGAACGGGUGAGUAAUACAUCGGAACGUGCCUAGUAGUGGGGGAUAACUACUCGAAAGAGUGGCUAAUACCGCAUGAGAUCUACGGAUGAAAGCAGGGGAUCGCAAGACCUUGUGCUACUAGAGCGGCCGAUGGCAGAUUAGGUAGUUGGUGGGAUAAAAGCUUACCAAGCCGACGAUCUGUAGCUGGUCUGAGAGGACGAUCAGCCACACUGGGACUGAGACACGGCCCAGACUCCUACGGGAGGUAGCAGUGGGGAAUUUUGGACAAUGGGCGCAAGCCUGAUCCAGCAAUGCCGCGUGCAGGAUGAAGGCCUUCGGGUUGUAAACUGCUUUUGUACGGAACGAAAAGCCCCGGGUUAAUACCCUGGGGUCAUGACGGUACCGUAAGAAUAAGCACCGGCUAACUACGUGCCAGCCGCCGCCGUAA
rnacentral:rRNA from 1 species